UACGUAGGGGGGCAAGCGUUUGUCCGGAUUUAUUGGGCGUAAAGAGCGUGUAGGCGGCUUGACAGGUCUGCUGUGAAAACUCGAGGCUCAACCUCGAGAUGUCGGCGGAAACCGUCUGGCUAGAGUCCGGAAGAGGAGAGUGGAAUUCCUGGUGUAGCGGUGAAAUGCGCAGAUAUCAGGAGGAACACCGGUGGUGUAAACGCUUUCUGGACCAUAACUGACGCUGAGGCACGAAAAGCGUGGGGUAGCAAACAGG
rnacentral:rRNA from 1 species